rnacentral:rRNA from 1 species
UGGGGAAUAUUGGACAAUGGGCGGAAGCCUGAUCCAGCAAUACCGCGUGUGUGAAGAAGGCCUUAGGGUUGUAAAGCACUUUCAAUAGGGAGGAAAAAGGUAAGCUUAAUACGUUUGCCCUUGACAUUACCUAUACAAGAAGCACCGGCUAACUCCGUGCCAGCAGCCGCGGUAAUACGGAGGGUGCAAGCGUUAAUCGGAAUUACUGGGCGUAAAGCGUGCGUAGGCGGCUUGUUAAGUCAGAUGUGAAAGCCCCGGGCUCAACCUGGGAACUGCAUUUGAAACUGGCAAGCUAGAGUUGGGUAGAGGGGAGUGGAAUUUCAGGUGUAGCGGUGAAAUGCGUAGAUAUCUGAAGGAACACCAGUGGCGAAGGCGACUCCCUGGACUCAAACUGACGCUGAGGCACGAAAGCGUGGGUAGCAAACAGGAUUAGAUACCCUAGUAGUCCCUGAGCGG